UGGGGAAUCUUGCACAAUGGGGGAAACCCUGAUGCAGCGACGCCGCGUGAGCGAUGAAGCCCUUCGGGGUGUAAAGCUCUUUCGGCAGGGAAGAUGAUGACGGUACCUGCAGAAGCAGCUGCGGCUAACUACGUGCCAGCAGCCGCGGUAAUACGUAGGCAGCAAGCGUUGUUCGGAGUUACUGGGCGUAAAGGGUGUGUAGGCGGUUCUUUAAGUUUGUCGUGAAAUCUCCCGGCUCAACCGGGAGGGUGCGGCGAAUACUGAGGAGCUAGAGUGCGGGAGAGGAGAGUGGAAUUCCUGGUGUAGCGGUGAAAUGCGUAGAUAUCAGGAGGAACACCGGUGGUGUAAACGGCUCUCUGGACCGUAACUGACGCUGAGACACGAAAGCGUGGGUAGCAAACAG
rnacentral:rRNA from 1 species